rnacentral:rRNA from 1 species
AGGCACGGAGUGAGUAACACGUAUCCAACCUGCCGUCUACUCUUGGACAGCCUUCUGAAAGGAAGAUUAAUACAAGAUGGCAUCAUGAGUCCGCAUGUUCACAUGAUUAAAGGUAUUCCGGUAGACGAUGGGGAUGCGUCCCAUUAUAUAGUAGGCGGGGUAACGGCCCACCUAGUCUUCGAUGGAUAGGGGUUCUGAGAGGAAGGUCCCCCACAUUGGAACUGAGACACGGUCCAAACUCCUACGGGAGGCAGCAGUGAGGAAUAUUGGUCAAUGGGCGAGAGCCUGAACCAGCCAAGUAGCGUGAAGGAUGACUGCCCUAUGGGUUGUAAACUUCUUUUAUAAAGGAAUAAAGUCGGGUAUGGAUACCCGUUUGCAUGUACUUUAUGAAUAAGGAUCGGCUAACUCCGUGCCAGCAGCCGCGGUAAUACGGAGGAUCCGAGCGUUAUCCGGAUUUAUUGGGUUUAAAGGGAGCGUACAUGGAUGUUUAAGUCAGUUGUGAAAGUUUGCGGCUCAACCGUAAAAUUGCAGUUGAUACUGGAUAUCUUGAGUGCAGUUGAGGCAGGCGGAAUUCGUGGUGUAGCGGUGAAAUGCUUAGAUAUCACGAAGAACUCCGAUUGCGAAGGCAGCCUGCUAAGCUGCAACUGACAUUGAGGCUCGAAAGUGUGGGUAUCAAACAGGAUUAGAUACCCUGGUAGUCCACACGGUAAACGAUGAAUACUCGCUGUUUGCGAUAUACAGCAAGCGGCCAAGCGAAAGCGUUAAGUAUUCCACUGGGGAGUACGCCGGCAACGGUGAAACUCAAAGGAAUUGACGGGGGCCCGCACAAGCGGAGGAACAUGUGGUUUAAUUCGAUGAUACGCGAGGAACCUUACCCGGGCUUAAAUUGCAGAUGAAUUACGGUGAAAGCCGUAAGCCGCAAGGCAUCUGUGAAGGUGCUGCAUGGUUGUCGUCAGCUCGUGCCGUGAGGUGUCGGCUUAAGUGCCAUAACGAGCGCAACCCUUGUUGUCAGUUACUAACAGGUUCCGCUGAGGACUCUGACAAGACUGCCAUCGUAAGAUGUGAGGAAGGUGGGGAUGACGUCAAAUCAGCACGGCCCUUACGUCCGGGGCUACACACGUGUUACAAUGGGGGGUACAGAGGGCCGCUACCACGCGAGUGGAUGCCAAUCCCAAAAACCUCUCUCAGUUCGGANCGGAGUCUGCAACCCGACUCCACGAAGCUGGAUUCGCUAGUAAUCGCGCAUCAGCCACGGCGCGGU